rnacentral:rRNA from 1 species
GCAUCCUACGGGGCGCAGCAGUGGGGAAUAUUGCGCAAUGGGGGAAACCCUGACGCAGCAACGCCGCGUGAGUGAAGAAGGCCUUCGGGUUGUAAAGCUCUUUAAUCAGGGACGAAGAAUGACGGUACCUGAAGAAUAAGCUCCGGCUAACUACGUGCCAGCAGCCGCGGUAAUACGUAGGGAGCAAGCGUUAUCCGGGUUUACUGGGUGUAAAGGGCGUGUAGGCGGGCCUGCAAGUCAGAAGUGAAAUCUGGGGGCCUAACCCCCCAACUGCUUUUGAAAC